AGAAGAGAUUGGGACUCGUAUCAAUGGAGAUCAAAGAGAACCCAAAUUGAUGCAACCUACUCAUGGAUAUAAUGGAAGAAAUCAUGAUGGUGUGGGAGCAAGGAUCAUUUCUGCUUGAUGCAUGCAGAUGGUGUGAAUAUUGCUUUAUGGAUAGAAUCUUGAUGGGAGGUUUGUGUUAUAGGAAUCCAUCUUUUUUUUUGUGAAGAUUGGGAGACGGACACUUGCAUAUAUUUUUUUUGAUAUAUCAGGGGAUAUAUUUGAUGUUGUUGGAUGGAGUCCUAAUCCUGAUAAAAGCCUUGGAA
rnacentral:lncRNA from 1 species